CAGCGCCACGAGUGGGAACCACAUUUAUUGGGCCUAAAGCGUCCGUAGCUCGUUCGGAAAAUCUCUUGUGAAAUCGUAGUGCUCAACACUACGGCGUGCAGGAGACACUACCGAGCUUGAGACCGGGAGGAGUCAGAGGUAUUUUUGGGGAAGCGGUAAAAUGCUAUAAUCCCAAAAAGACCACCUGUGGCGAAGGCGUCUGACUAGAACGGUUCUGACUGUGAGGGACGAAAGCCAGGGGAGCGAUCCGGAUUAGAGACCCGCGUAGUCC
rnacentral:rRNA from 1 species